GCGUCCGCGUAAUUGUCCACGUUGUCCAACGUCACGCCUGAGCCGAUCAACACCGGCAGCCUCGCUGCGACGCACUCCCGUACUUCUACAAGAUUAUGGUGUUCACGUGUUUCAUCUGCAAAAAGAGAUCAAACAAAUCGCAAGAUUUGUCGUUUCAUCGUCGAAGGAAGAAGGUUUCUGAAACCAGGGAGUAAACUAACUAUAAAUCUUGGAGUGCUCCAAUAAAUAUUCCGAACACGACAGAAUUUUCUUCCAUACAAACCAGUAAUAUCUCAACCAAUGAACCAACAUUGCGAUCAAGUAUUGAAAAGUUGGCCACAUCAAAUAAGCGGAAACAAGAACCACCACUGGCUGAAAUUAUUGCUAAAAAAAAGAUUCGACUAACUGAUCUCACAUGGGAAGAACUUUUUGAGUCAUCAAUGCGAGAAAAAGCUUAUCUCGCGGUGGACACAACAACAACUCGACCGCCGAGCAGUUUGAGUCUGCAUUCAAGUGGUUAUUGGUUUAUGCGCAAAUCAAAGGCUCAGAUAAAUGCAAAUUGUCUACUUCAAGAUAGCACUUGUUUAUUACAAACUCUCAAAGUUCUUGAUAAGCCGGCUCCUAAAACUCAUGAUAAUGAUAUUGUUGACAUGCAUAAAAUCAGUAAAACUCUUAGGGUUUCUUCAAGCACUUCUUUGGAUCAUGACUAUUAUAUACCCUUAGUAUUUAUAAAUGUUAAUAAAACGUAUUAAUCACA